rnacentral:rRNA from 1 species
UACAGAGGGUGCGAGCGUUAAUCGGAAUUACUGGGCGUAAAGCGCACGUAGUCGGCUUUGCAAGUCGGGUGUGAAAUCCCCGGGCUCAACCUGGGAACUGCAUCCGAGACUGCAUUGCUAGAGUAUGGGAGAGGGAAGCGGAAUUUCUGGUGUAGCAGUGAAAUGCGUAGAUAUCAGAAGGAACAUCAGUGGCGAAGGCGGCCUUCUGGACGAUGACUGACGCUGAGACGCGAAAGCGUGGGGAGCAAACAGG